GUUUCGAAACCUUAAGGUAGAAGGAGUCAAAUAGCAUUCCUAUGGAAAACAUUUCUGUAAUUUAGUUUAACAAGGCACCCAAAUACUUUUGUGAAAUCCAACAUAAAAGCAAAACAAGACUCCUGACAGUAUGGGUUCUACAAAAGUAGGCUUGUAUCAUAUGAAUUGAACAAAUAGUCCUAUACAUACUCUUCUGUGGCAAGAUGGGUGGAUAUUCCAUGCAAGCGCACAUAUAAAUUUUUUAUUCCCUCUCAGAAUCGUAUGAUCAAGGAGACUGUCAGUUUGCUAGUGAAGUUGUAAAAGCCUGAGCUACAUUUCCUGUUCGUAAGAAAGCUGGUGAAGAGAAGACUAGAGCCCUUUGAGACUGACGGCAACUCCAGAGAUAGAUUUGUGCUCUUAAGUCUGAUAUAAAACAGCAUCCAAGGUCUACCAGCAUAACAUAAGUUGAUUUCCUGUUGGAUAAAGAGGUGCGGGGCAUUCCUACAAGAACGUAACCAGGUUACAGGAAUGGACUGCCAUUAUUCUGUCUGGGGAGUUUUGGCCUUUCUAAGUUUGGCUCUCAUUUUUUCAUUGAUACUGAAUAUUUCACACUAUAUGAAAAAGAAACAAGAAGCUAAAAUGUAUAAAGACAAUGAAGACAACACUCAAAGGUAAGCUGUAUAAGUAAUCCUUUUCUGAGAAGAGUAAAAUAAGCAAUAAAUGAUGAUAGAUAUCUUUGAAUUUUCCUCUGUGCCACCCCUCCAAUAUCUUAUGUGGCCUGCCUAGAGAUACUGGAGAGCAGAAUGAUUGUUUAAAAAA